rnacentral:rRNA from 1 species
UACGUAGGGUGCAAGCGUUGUCCGGAAUUAUUGGGCGUAAAGAGCUCGUAGGCGGUCUGUCGCGUCGGCUGUGAAAUCCCGAGGCUCAACCUCGGGUCUGCAGUCGAUACGGGCAAACUUGAGUGUUGCAGGGGAGACUGGAAUUCCUGGUGUAGCGGUGAAAUGCGCAGAUAUCAGGAGGAACACCGGUGGCGAAGGCGGGUCUCUGGGCAACAACUGACGCUGAGGAGCGAAAGCGUGGGGAGCAAACAGG